rnacentral:tRNA from 1 species
GAGGGUACAGCUCAGUGGUUGAGUGUGUGCUUAGCAAGCACAAGGUCCUGGGUCCAAUCCCUAGUACCCCUG